rnacentral:rRNA from 1 species
AUACGUAGGGGGCAAGCGUUAUCCGGAAUUACUGGGUGUAAUGGGAGAGUAGGCGGUAUGGUAAGUUAGAUGUGAAAGCCUGAGGCUUAACCACAGGAUUGCAUUUAAAACUAUCAAACUAGAGUACAGGAGAGGGAAGCGGAAUUCCUAGUGUAGCGGUGAAAUGCGUAGAUAUUAGGAAGAACACCAGUGGCGAAGGCGGCUUUCUGGACUGAAACUGACGCUGAGGCUCGAAAGCGUGGGGAGCGAACAGGAUUAGAUACCCUGGUAGUCCACGCCGUAAACGAUGAGUGCUAGGUGUCGGGGGGGAACCCUCGGUGCCGCAGCUAACGCAAUAAGCACUCCACCUGGGGAGUACGAUCGCAAGAUUGAA